GGCCGUCUGACCACCAGCGGUGAGAGACUCUCGGUGCCUGUCGUCAUCUGCAUCAUCCUGGGGGCCCUCCUCUGCCUGCUCCUGGCCCUCCUGGCUGGGCAGGUGCGAAACGCCAGGGCUCAGCGCAGAGGCUCUGGGAGAGCUGGGGAGCCCUUCCCUGAGGCCGUGUACGAGGAGAUCACUUACAGCCUGGCGUGGGAGAAGCGGCCGAGGUUCAGUCUCUCAGAUGUCCCUGUCCUGCCCGGAGGUUACCCAGCAGAUGGCUAUGAUGAUGCUGGGGAGGUUUCUGACCCUGGGGAGGAUCCUGUCCCUGGGCAGGGG